CAUAAGUUUGAAAAGCCAUGUCAGAAGAGUAGGAUUAAAGACAAAGUAUUAAGAGUAAUUGGGCUGUUCCUGAACAAUAUUGAAUAUAAAUAUUCAAAAAUAUGAUAAACUGCAUAUCCUACUAAGUAGAUCAAUACCAAAAUUCCAUUAGAGAAAUAAGUUAAAAUUAUGUUUUACUUGUAUAAUUUUCUUGCUAUUUGUCCACCAUUAUUUGUGACUUAGAAAUUAAAUAGUCAAAAAGAA